UACGUAGGGUGCAAGCGUUGUCCGGAAUUAUUGGGCGUAAAGAGCUCGUAGGCGGUCUGUCGCGUCUGCUGUGAAAACCUGGGGCUUAACCCCGGGCCUGCAGUGGGUACGGGCAGACUAGAGUGCGGUAGGGGAGACUGGAAUUCCUGGUGUAGCGGUGAAAUGCGCAGAUAUCAGGAGGAACACCGGUGGCGAAGGCGGGUCUCUGGCCCGAUACUGACGCUGAGGCGCGAAAGCCAGGGGAGCGAACGGG
rnacentral:rRNA from 1 species